GUAACCACCAACACGAAAACACAGAUCCCCACACCAGCACCAGAAAAAGGUCAGAUCAGGGAAUGUGAAACAGAAGUGGAAGAGAAACAGAUGACCAGGAAUGAGGUAUGCAGACUAACCUCCAACAAUGCAUGUCAACAAGCAACCAGCAGCUAAUCGGCCCAGAUAAACAACAAUUUUUUCUGCUGAAUGAAGUGUAUGGUUUGGUUGCAUAGAGAAGUCAAAACUAGGGAAACAUUUUACAUUUUGUAAAUGUAAUUUUGUAAAAUGUGGAUGUGUGCUGUAAAUAUCAAGGUGUCAGGGGUGUUGAAUAUGGGGACUGACACACUAACUGCACUGCUGAAAUGUAAAUAAACAGUGUUACAGAAGCCAGUGGUACAAUUUUGUGAUUAUAAAUGCUCAAGAGUGGAAAGCAAGCUAUGCAAUUGUACAAUACAGAGCACUAGAGUAAUUGACACACACACAGCUUUCUAUUUGUUUGUUGACAUUAUUUUUUGAUGUUUUAUAUCAAUGUAUCAGUUUGAAAAACAGUCAUCUCUAUUUUAAAAAGACAACAGUGACAAUAAAAGCAAAAAAGAAAAAAUGUGGAGAGCCUUUUCUUGGGGGUUCAGCAUGACUUAAGGUCUUUACCAAAUUCCACUGGUUUUCCAUCAUCAUAGUUCCUUUACAGUUAGGUUGAAGUGAAUUGCUGAACCUGCUAUUCGUAAACAUCCGUGUUUGAUGAUAACUAAUAAGCAAAGUAAGAAGCUGAGAAAGCCAUUAUAGUCUCUUUCUAGAUUUGGGGACAACCUGGCAUUAGACAUAAGAAAUUCAUGCCCUUUAGCUAAAUCCUCCUCAAGCACCAAUUCUUCCUCCCCACCCCUUUUCCAAGAAGAUCAGGGACCUAUGUCUGUGGCAAAAUCAGACAGUAAACCAACAGUUGAACUGACAUAUUCAACUCUGCUUUCAGAAGCAUCCAGAAAUGAAUCUGAAUUGGCCUCUACCAGUUUGGACACACUACUGUCAGGCCAUAAACAGCCACCCUCAAAAUGGCGGUAACCCGAAACCAUUUUGCCAAUUGUCUUAGAACAAUCAUUCCAAUCUCCAAGUUUCAGGCCCGGUUUCAGGGUGGCUCUCUGCCAAACUGGUUUGAGGAUGUGCCAGGUAUGUUUGGCACAAUGCAUGCUGCAAUAGAGUUUUUUUAAACCUAUCCUAUGGAUUCAGGGCUUGUUCAAUUCAAAUUCAAUUAAAUUUUAUUUGUUUAGCCAGACUCUGUCACAAUGCAACAGAAAUCUGGAUGUAGAUUUAGAUUUAAACUCCUAAUGGGCAAGCCAGAAGUGAAAGCAGCAAGGAAAAACUCCCUAAGAUGUCAUGAGUGUGGAAAGUCAAAAGCUCAAAGUUUCUUGGAGUGCACAACCCCUGACACCCAUUCCCAUGGACUCUUCACCCUCCUGCCAUCUGGCAGAAGGUUCAGGAGCAUCCGUGCCACCACCAGCACACUCCGCAACAGUUUCUUCCAUCACAUAGUCAGAUUACUCAACACCCUGCUGCCUCUCAAUACUCACUAAUCAAACACUUAACCCAGUAUGACACAGCAAUUUACAAAGCUUCAUCAAAGACUUUAUGGAACACUAUACUUAUUACUGCUACAGAUAUACACCGUAACAGUGGGCAGUAAACAGUAAACUAUUUGGUAGUGUAACAACAAUAAGUACACUGAUCAGCCAUAAUAUUAAAAUGACUGAUGGGCGAAGUAAAUAACAUUGAUUAUCUCAUUACAAUGGCACUUGGCAAGGGGUGGCAGCAAGUGAACAGUCAGUUCUCAAAGUCCAAAUUGUGAUGGCUAAAUGACUGGGUCAGAGCAUCUCCCAAAUGGCAGGUCUUUUUGGGUGUUCCCCAUAUGCAGUGGUUAUUACCUACCAAAAGUGGUCCAAGGACGGAAACUGGUGAACUGGUGACAGGGUCAUGGCUCCCAAGGCUCAGUGAUGCACGUGGGGAACCAAGGCUAGCCUGUCUG